UAGGGAAUAUUCGGCAAUGGACGGAAGUCUGACCGAGCAACGCCGCGUGAGUGAAGAAGGCUUUCGGAUUGUAAAGCUCUGUUGUUAGAGAAGAACGUUGGUAGGAGCGGAAAAUCUACCAAGUGACGGUAACUAACCAGAAAGGGACGGCUAACUACGUGCCAGCAGCCGCGGUAAUACGUAGGUCCCGAGCGUUGUCCGGAUUUAUUGGGCGUAAAGCGAGCGCAGGCGGUUCUUUAAGUCUGAAGUUAAAGGCAGUGGCUUAACCAUUAUACGCUUUGGAAACUGGAGGACUUGAGUGCAGAAGGGGAGAGUGGAAUUCCAUGUGUAGCGGUGAAAUGCGUAGAUAUAUGGAGGAACACCGGUGGCGAAAGCGGCUCUCUGGUCUGUAACUGACGCUGAGGCUCGAAAGCGUGGGGAGCAAACAGG
rnacentral:rRNA from 1 species